AACGAACGCUGGCGGCAUGCCUAACACAUGCAAGUCGAGCGCCCGUAGCAAUACGGGAGCGGCGCACGGAUGAGUAACGCGUGGGAACCUGCCCAGAGGUCUGGGACAACCGCGGGAAACUGCGGCUGAUACCGGAUGAUUCCUGAGGGACAAAGAUUAUUGCCUUUGGAGGGGCCCGCGUCGGAUUAGGUAGUUGGUGGGGUAACGGCUCACCAAGCCUAUGAUCCGUAACUGGUCUGAGAGGAUGACCAGUCACACUGGGACUGAGACACGGCCCAGACUCCUACGGGAGGCAGCAGUGGGGAGUAUUGGACAAAUGGGGGCAACCCUGAUCCAGCAAUGCCGCGUGGGUGAUGAAGGCCUGGUGU
rnacentral:rRNA from 1 species